ensembl:lncRNA
AGUUCUUUUUCUUGUUGAUUUCUAGUCUCAUAGCACUGAGGCCAGAAAGAAUGCUUAAUAUGAUUUCAAUUUACUUAAAUUUCCUGAGGCUUGAUUUGUGGCCCAGAAUGUGAUCUAUCCCAGAGAAUGUUCCGUGUGCACUCAAGAAGAAUGUGUAUUUUGCUGCUUUGGGAUGGAAUGUUCUAUAAAUAUCAACUGAGUCUAUCUGUUCUAUUGUGUCAUUUAAGGCCUGUGUUUCCUUAUUGACUUUCUGUCUGGAUGAUCUUUCCAUUGCUGUGAGGUGUUAACGUCCCCCACUAUUAUUGUGUUAUUUUCUAUUUUUCCUUGUAUGGCUGUUAGCAGUCGCCUUAUAUAUUGUGGUGAAACUAUGUUUGGUACACAUAUUUACAGUUGUUAUAUCUUCUUCUUGGAUGGAUCCCUUGAUCAUUAGGUAGUGACACCUUUGUCUCUUUAAAGUCUAUUUUGUCUGGUAUAAGUACUACUCCAGCUUUCUUUUGAAUUGCAUAGGAUUCCUUCUUCCUUUCCCUAAUUUUCCAUCUGUAUGUGUUCCCUAGAUCUGAAUAGGUCUCUUGUAGAUAGCAUAUAUAAAGGGUCUUAUUUUUGUAUCCAUUCUGCCAGUCGAUGUCUUUAACUGGAGCAUGUAAUUUAUUUACAGUCAAAGUAAUUUUCAAUAUGAAUAUAUUUAUUGCCAUUUGCCUGUUUUGGGACAAUUGUGGGACUUUUUACUUCCCUUCCUCUUUUGACCUCUUCUUUUGUGAUUUGGUGACUAUCUUUAGUAUUGCAUUUGGAUUGCUUUUUCUUUCUCAUGUGUAUCUCUGUUGUAGUUGUUUCCAGUUCCUGUGAGGCUUUGAAACAGCAAUCUAUACAUAUACGCACAAAAUUAUUUUAAGUUUCUGGUCUCGAUUUCAAAUGCAUUUUCAACAUUCUACAUUGGAACUCUUCUCACAAUUGCAGGUUUUGAUGUACUUGUCAAUGGAUGAUUUCCUACUUUUAUUUUAUGUUUGCCUUUACGGGUGAGCUUUCAAAUUCAUAAUAUUCUUGUUUCUAGUCGUGGCUCUUUCUUUCCCACCUUGAGAAGCUACUUUACCAUUUGUUUCUUUUUUUUUUUUUGGUCUUUUUAGGGCUGCGCCUGUGGCAUAUCGAAGUUCCCAGGCUAGGAGUCAAAUUGGAGCUAUAGCUGCCAGCCUAUGCCACAGCUACAACCACUGCCACAGCAACAUGGGAUCCAAGCCACGUCUGCAGCCUAUACCACAGCUCAUGGCAAUGCUGGAUCCUGAACCCACUGAG